CUGAUUAGCAGCCACUUCAGAAAAGACUCUGCUUGGCCCAGGACGGGGCUUUGAGAAUGCUGGGGGAAGGAACAGGGAUUAAAUAUCUGCGUAAGAAUGGAGGGCAACGAGGCAUCCAAGUUACACAGCAGGUUGGCUCUCUCUUUUGCCAGAACAUCCCCAUGAUAAUGUCAUUGUGUCUGCUAAGGUGAGCCCUGGAUUGAGAGUUUGAUUUUUACCAUCUCAGAAAAAGCCUCAAGGUCAUGUUCAAAUCCAGCAUUCUGAGACAGUGCCUGAGGUGGGAAGCCGAGGAGGGAGAGGGGCAGAAGAGGAAGAAAGAGAAAGAAGAAUUGUGCUAGCUCAUCCUAGCUAAGGUCUAAGGUUGCUGCAACAGGAUACAACAAAAGGAUGUUAUCUGCCGUUACCUUGGAGGCGUUCCAGAGGAUGCUGGUGGCCAGCAGCGUCCCUCACAAUGUUCCGGGGCACGACCCCCACAAGCCUCCCCUGUACCCUGGGUCCCACUCUCAGGACGCGCACGCUCAUGGACCGCUGACAAUGGUUAGUCAUCCGGAGCUGAACUGGAACUCUGGUCUGGAUCUUUAUCAGGCUCUUCCCCAUGCUGAUUCUUGGGAGACAGAAGAUCACUUCAGGCUUGAAAAAUCAGGCCGUGUCUAGGGAAUGGAGGGGAAGCCAGCCCUGCUCCACAGCACGACCCCCACCCCCGGGCAAGGCAGAGUAUGGUGAAGGGAAAGCUCCGGAGAGGCGAGUGCUCAGGAAGCUGGGCUUGAGAAGAGCUGUGUAAGAGGGGUAUUGCUUCUGUGGCUUCUGAGGGGCCUCAGCGGAUGAGCAGAGGACUUGCUCUGUUUUGUGGUUGACUUUUUCACAAGUGUUCUAGAUAACUGUUGGCGUGAGAACUAUUCGUUGCAAACUAGGAGCAGAUUUUAGGCUUGUGCUUGGAUUGGUUGAGACCAAUAGCUCUGCCCAUGUAGAUGCGUUCCCUGGGCACAUGCAUGCCCUGCUCUGUCAGCUGGGUUACUAGACAUACUCUUUGGGAAGUAUUUCUGGUAACUGCAACCUAGAGUGUGAUGAGUUGUGAUAGGUUCCUUUUCACUUAAAAUGAUGUUAUCACUCGCUGCAAAAGCUAUUUCCCUUUUGCUACCAAUUUCCCAACUCAUCCAGGAUCAUCUUGGGGGCAUCAGACAUGGCCCUAGCCAAGCUGUCACUGUUUGUCCUGGGAAGGUUAUGGAGCUGGGAAGGAUAAGGUAAAAGGCUACAAGAGUAGCCUUAACUCCAGAGAAAGCGGAGGCCUCAUCCACAUGCCUGAUGCUGUUUUCAGAGUCCUCGGCAACCCUGAUGCAUUGGAAGACGGUGUCGUCCCAGCUUGGCCAGGCUGAGGUGGCUUUGCUACUUGCAGUUGGAUAAAAUUCUCUUUCUGAGAACUACUAGCAAAACAGAAUGUAACCACAAACCCAAAGGGAGUGAAGGCCAGAAAUGCAGCAUUCCCUGAUACAUCCUGAAACAAAACCAGACCUUUGGUUAUUGUGGUGACGUGUUUUUGGUGAAUGGCUAUAACAUCCCCUCGGAGAUGAAGCAGGGCAGACAGAGGCAGCUAUCUGGAUCCAGGGAAAGAACUGCUAAUUAGAAGUA